UGGGGAAUAUUGCACAAUGGGCGAAAGCCUGAUGCAGCAACGCCGCGUGAGUGAUGAAGGCCUUCGGGUUGUAAAGCUCUGUCUUUUGGGACGAUAAUGACGGUACCAAAGGAGGAAGCCACGGCUAACUACGUGCCAGCAGCCGCGGUAAUACGUAGGUGGCAAGCGUUGUCCGGAUUUACUGGGCGUAAAGGAUGCGUAGGCGGAUUUUUAAGUGAGAUGUGAAAACCCUAAGCUUAACUUGGGGACUGCAUUUCAUACUGGAAAUCUAGAGUGCGGGAGAGGAGAAUGGAAUUCCUAGUGUAGCGGUGAAAUGCGUAGAGAUUAGGAAGAACACCAGUGGCGAAGGCGAUUCUCUGGACCGUAACUGACGCUGAGGCAUGAAAGCGUGGGUAGCAAACAGGAUUAGAUACCCUGGUAGUCCACGCCGUAAACGAUGAGUACUAGGUGUAGGAGGUAUCGACCCCUUCUGUGCCGCAGUUAACACAAUAAGUACUCCGCCUGGGAAGUACGAUCGCAAGAUUAAAACUUAAAUGAAUUGAC
rnacentral:rRNA from 1 species